rnacentral:rRNA from 1 species
UACGUAGGGGUGCAAGCGUUAAUCGGAAUUAACUGGGCGGUAAAGACGUGCGCAGGCGGUUUUGUAAGGUCAGAUGUGAAAUCCCCGGGCUUAACCUGGGAACUGCGUUUGAAACUACAAGGCUAGAGUGUGGCAGAGGGGGGUGGAAUUCCGACGUGUAGCAGUGAAAUGCGUAGAGAAUGUGGAGGAACACCGAUGGCGAAGGCAGCCCCCUGGGUUAACACUGACGCCUCAGGCACGAAAGCGUGGGGAGCAAACAGG